UCAAGCGUUGUUCGGAUUCAUUGGGCGUAAAGGGUGCGUAGGCGGCGGGGCAAGUCAGGUGUGAAAUCCCGGGGCUCAACCCUGGAACUGCACUUGAUACUGCUUUGCUAGAGUACUGGAGAGGAGAUUGGAAUUUACGGUGUAGCAGUGAAAUGCGUAGAUAUCGUAAGGAAGACCAGUGGCGAAGGCGAAUCUCUGGACAGUUACUGACGCUGAGGCACGAAGGCCAGGGGAGCAAACGGG
rnacentral:rRNA from 1 species